rnacentral:rRNA from 1 species
UACGUAGGGUGCUAGCGUUGUUCGGAAUCAUUGGGCGUAAAGAGCGUGUAGGCGGUCAGGUAGGUCCGUUGUGAAAACUCGAGGCUCAACCUCGAGACGCCGAUGGAAACCAUCUGACUAGAGUCCGGAAGAGGAGAGUGGAAUUCCUGGUGUAGCGGUGAAAUGCGCAGAUAUCAGGAAGAACACCCGUGGCUAAGGCGGCUCUCUAGUACGGUACUGACGCUGAGACGCGAAAGCGUGGGGAGCGAACAGG